UCCCUGGUGGUCCAGUGGUUAGGACUCUGCACUCCAGUUGCUGAGGGCCCAGUUUCAAUCCCUGGUCAGGGAA